CCGACAUAGUGUUGUUUUGUGCGGUAAAGCGAAUGAUUAGCGUAUUUGGGGACAUUUAGUCUUCAGACGAUUCUCAAACUUUCAAUGCGCAAGGGUGUUGCUGCUUAAUUGAGCUUCACCGGUAAAAACGUCGGCCCUGUGGGCCACUUUUGGUAAGCAGAACUGGCGAUACGGGAUGAACCGUAAGCAUGGUUAAGGUGCCAAACUACUCGCUUAUAGAUCCCACAAAAGGUGUUGAUUCAUCGAGACAGCAGGACGGUGGCCAUGGAAGUCGGAAUCCGCCAAGGAGUGUGUAACAACUCACCUGCCGAAUGAAUUAGCCCUGAAAAUGGAUGGCGCUUAAGCGGGUGACCGACACCAUGCCGUCUGAAUGAUAAAUUUCAGAUGAGUAGGAGGACCGAAAGGGAAGCGGGUUUACAUUCCCGCACACGGAUGUGGAGGCGGUGACGCUUUAUUGGGGCGAACACGCUGGCGAUGGCGCUGGGCAGAGUUGUCUUUUCUGUUUGACCGUUUGCGCAUGCGGUGUGGAGUCCGCUUGUCGGGAGAAACACGCAUGCGCGGGCAGAGCGCCGGGGCUUUUCCGGCGUCCAGCUCGCCAUCGACGGCCCUUGAAACUUUGCCUGCUGGUUUUAGAAUCCACGCCGUGGCGUACCGAUCACCGCAUCAGGUCCCCAAGGUGAACAGCCUCUGCUCAAUAUGAAAAAUGCAGGUAAGGGAAGUCGGCAAAUUAGACCCGUAACUUUGGGAAAAGGGUUGGCUCUAGUGCUGCGUGGGAGUGGUUGUCAAGUUGUGGCGCUCUCGAAGGUGCUGGUUUGCGCGAUACUUCGGUGUUGUUCGACAGGCGCCAUUGAUUGUGCCGCUCUUGACGACGCCCACAGCAUGCAGCAAACUAGAACUGCAACGGGCAAAGGGAAUCCGACUGUUUAAUUAAAACAAAGCAUUGCGAGGGCCGUGGCCGGUGAU
rnacentral:rRNA from 1 species